rnacentral:pre_miRNA from 1 species
GAAGUACUCCCUUUGUCCGGAAUUAUUUGUCACGGAAAUGGAUGUAUCUACAUGUAUUUUUAGUUCCAGAUGCAUCCGUUUCUGCAACAAAUAAUUUGGGACAGAGGGAGUAUCAU